rnacentral:rRNA from 1 species
CAGUAGCCGCGGUAAUACGAAGGGGGCUAGCGUUGUUCGGAAUCACUGGGCGUAAAGUGUGCGUAGGCGGACUCUUAAGUCAGGGGUGAAAUCCCGAGGCUCAACCUCGGAACUGCCUUUGAUACUGGGGAUCUUGAGUCCGGAAGAGGUGAGUGGAACUGCGAGUGUAGAGGUGAAAUUCGUAGAUAUUCGCAAGAACACCGGUGGCGAAGGCGGCUCACUGGUCCGGAACUGACGCUGAGGCACGACAGCGUGGGGAGCAAACAGGAUUAGAUACCCCAGUAGUCCCUGUCUCUUAUAC